CAUCGUUAAUGCGACCAACAUCUAGUGGGUUGAUUCUUCGUUUUAUCUCUUUUUUUUAAGGAACAAAUCCGAUGACGGUUACCGUUCAUUAUUAUUUUUGAUGAACAAUCAGACCACAUUUUAUUCAACUCAAAAAGGUGGUUGAACGAAGUAGCUUAAUGUAGAGAAAAUAAUGUAGAUAUAGAGAGAAGAGGGAUUUUAGAUCUAUUUUAUAUCAUUAGUUGUAAAACUGUGAAGUUUUUGGGUUUCUGCUUUACUCGAUUUUUUUUAGUGAAAGAUAAUGUUAAAAUUUGUGAUUAGCUCUGAAGGAAUGGCCUGCUUAACUCGUUUUUUAACUCGUCGUUGAGUACUGUGGAAAUCGGAUCUAUGGAUAUCCAGGAACAUGCUGAAGAUACUGGUCGUCGUUUAAUAAGGAGAAAAAUCUAUAAUUACGAUUCCCUGUACCUCUUCCAGAUCUAUUGUUUUUACAUUCUACGGGUAUAUGCUAGGCAUUCGGUGGUUUGGGCUGAUAUUAAGAAUGGGGGAUUGGGGCUGCCUUUUGUGCUGUUGGUUCUCUCUUUGGGAGCAAUGAUUGGUUGUUUUCGGUUUUUAGCAAGAUGCUGUGUAUUACAACCUGCAAUCCGUUACUUAUUCUCGAAAAGGAUUUAUACUCGAAAGAAGUUCAGCAAAUACUUUCUCAAAGGUUUGAUUUUUUUAUCAACCAUGGUCCGAACUGGUUCUUCUACGCUACAUUGGUAAGUAUCCUAACACCAAUAUGCGUAAGAGAUAUUUUUCAAUUGCGUUAGAAGAGGCAAUAUGAAUUGAAGUUUGCAAUUGUGAACAGAAGUAGGUCGUUUGGAGAAGAGAGCUCAAUCCAGGGAGCUACUCGAGGUAUUUAGGUUGGCAAAAAGAAGCAAUCUAAAUUGAAAUCUCGGAUUGUGGACAAAAGUAAGCAGUUUGGAGUUGAGAGAUUAAUCCAAUAAGUGGAAAGAUUACUUAUAAGUGUGUAAAAAAUUAUUUGUAAGGUUGUUGCAAAGGAAAUGGGUGAGGCGCGAGUUCAGGUUGAGUAAUUGAUCAAAGGGUAUUUAGCUUGUGUAGGGUAGUUAACAAUAGUUUGUGAUGUUUGGGUUCACGGUUAGGAAUGGUUGUUUAUUGUUGCGUUAUAAUACAAACUAUUAUUACAUGAAACUUAUAAGUUAA